UGGGGAAUAUUGGACAAUGGGCGCAAGCCUGAUCCAGCAACGCCGCGUGGAGGACGAAGGCCUUCGGGUCGUAAACUCCUGUCAGUAGGGACGAAAAAGUAGGGUCGAACAGGCCUUGCCAUUGACGGUACCUGCAGAGGAAGCCCCGGCUAACUCCGUGCCAGCAGCCGCGGUAAUACGGAGGGGGCAAGCGUUAUUCGGAAUUACUGGGCGUAAAGGGCGUGUAGGCGGCUUGAUAGGUCAAAAGGUGAAAAUCCCUCGGCUCAACCGAGGAACUGCCUUUGAAACCAUCUGGCUCGAGGCUGGGAGGGGGUAGCGGAAUUCCUGGGUGUAGCGGUGAAAUGCGUAGAUAUCAGGAGGAACACCAGUGGCGAAGGCGGCUACCUGGACCAGUUCUGACGCUGAGGCGCGAAAGCGUGGGG
rnacentral:rRNA from 1 species